CGCGGCCUAUCAGCUUGUUGGUGAGGUAGUGGCUCACCAAGGCGACGACGGGUAGCCGGCCUGAGAGGGCGACCGGCCACACUGGGACUGAGACACGGCCCAGACUCCUACGGGAGGCAGCAGUGGGGAAUAUUGCACAAUGGGCGCAAGCCUGAUGCAGCGACGCCGCGUGAGGGAUGACGGCCUUCGGGUUGUAAACCUCUUUCAGCAGGGAAGAAACGCAAGUGACGGUACCUGCAGAAGAAGCACCGGCUAACUACGUGCCAGCAGCCGCGGUAAUACGUAGGGUGCGAGCGUUGUCCGGAAUUAUUGGGCGUAAAGAGCUUGUAGGCGGUUUGUCGCGUCUGCUGUGAAAAUCCGGGGCUCAACCCCGGACUUGCAGUGGGUACGGGCAGGCUAGAGUGUGGUAGGGGAGAUUGGAAUUCCUGGUGUAGCGGUGAAAUGCGCAGAUACCAGGAGGAACACCGAUGGCGAAGGCAGGUCUCUGGGCCACUACUGACGCUGAGAAGCGAAAGCAUGGGGAGCGAACAGGAUUAGAUACCCUGGUAGUCCAUGCCGUAAACGUUGGGAACUAGGUGUGGGUGUCAUUCCACGAGAUCCGUGCCGCAGCUAACGCAUUAAGUUCCCCGCCUGGGGAGUACGG
rnacentral:rRNA from 1 species